ensembl:lncRNA
AGCACACAGUCCACAGACCGCGGAGGCGUGAGGUGCAGCCGACGGGCCAGUCCGCUCGUAGGUCACCUGUCAGUCACGCCCUCUCUGUGACCUCCUCGCAUGCACUUGGACAGCGCCCUGGGUUCGCAGAGGCUGUCCGGGGCUCUGACGCGUGGAGAUCUUCGGAUCCUCAUGGAGACCCCAGCACCCCAGACAGGACAGGACACUGCCAUCCGUUCCAGCCCCAGCCUUCCCUUCAGGUCUCUCUCUGGUCACCCUCAUCCAGGCCCUGCAGCAGCUUGGGGUGGUGGCGUGAAAGACGGUCUCCAAAAGGGGCUUUCAUUCAGGCUCACCAAAGCUGGUCUUCAGAGUCCAUCAGAACUCACAAGGUGGGACUACUGGGCUGCCGCAAAGAAUGCUGGGAAAAUCCCCAUGAGGUGAGGACAUCAGUCAUGGUCCUAAGGAUACCAGAGACAUCUUAACUUCAGCUUACAACUGUGAAUGUUUCAGGUUACCCAUAACCAGUAGCACAGUGUGACCCCAAGAACUCCUGAUGGAAAGGUAAUCAAGUGAUCUGUGGCUUGCAACCCCCCGCAACAUGAUU